rnacentral:rRNA from 1 species
UACGGGGGGGGCAAGCGUUGUUCGGAAUUACUGGGCGUAAAGGGCUCGUAGGCGGCCAACUAAGUCAGACGUGAAAUCCCUCGGCUUAACCGGGGAACUGCGCUUGAUACUGGAUGGCUUGAGAUUGGGAGAGGGAUGCGGAAUUCCAGGUGUAGCGGUGAAAUGCGUAGAUAUCUGGAGGAACACCGGUGGCGAAGGCGGCAUCCUGGACCAACACUGAUGCUGAGGAGCGAAAGCCAGGGGAGCAAACGGG